rnacentral:rRNA from 1 species
GAUGAACGCUAGCGGCAGGCUUAACACAUGCAAGUCGAGGGGCAGCGCGGGAUAGCAAUAUCCUGGCGGCGACCGGCGGAAGGGUGCGUAACGCGUGAGCGACAUGCCCGUUGCCCGGGGACAACCGGUGGAAACGCCGACUAAUCCCCGAUGGGAUACGAUGCUUCAUGGCAUUGUAUUGAAAGUUACGGCGGCGACGGAUUGGCUCGCGUCCGAUUAGCUGGUUGGCGGGGUAACGGCCCACCAAGGCUGCGAUCGGUAGGGGUUCUGAGAGGAAGGCCCCCCACAAUGGGACUGAGACACGGGCCAUACUCCUACGGGAGGCAGCAGUGAGGAAUAUUGGUCAAUGGGCGGAAGCCUGAACCAGCCAUGCCGCGUGCGGGAAGGAGGCCCUAUGGGCUGUGAACCGCUUUUGCCUGGGGGAAAUAAGGGCGUCGCGCACGUCCGAUGAGAGUACCAGGCGAAUAAGCAUCGGCUAACUCCGUG